UCGUCAGCUCGUGUUGUGAAAUGUUGGGUUAAGUCCCGCAACGAGCGCAACCCUUAUCCUUUGUUGCCAGCGGUCCGGCCGGGAACUCAAAGGAGACUGCCAGUGAUAAACUGGAGGAAGGUGGGGAUGACGUCAAGUCAUCAUGGCCCUUACGACCAGGGCUACACACGUGCUACAAUGACGCAUACAAAGAGAAGCGACCUCGCGAGAGCAAGCGGACCUCAUAAAGUGCGUCGUAGUCCGGAUUGGAGUCUGCAACUCGACUCCAUGAAGUCGGAAUCGCUAGUAAUCGUGGAUCAGAAUGCCACGGUGAAUACGUUCCCGGGCCUUGUACACACCGCCCGUCACACCAUGGGAGUGGGUUGCAAAAGAAGUAGGUAGCUUAACCUUCGGGAGGGCGCUUACCACUUUGUGAUUCAUGACUGGGGUGAAGUCGUAACAAGGUAGCCGUA
rnacentral:rRNA from 1 species